rnacentral:rRNA from 1 species
UACAGAGGUCUCAAGCGUUGUUCGGAUUCAUUGGGCGUAAAGGGUGCGUAGGCGGCGCGGUAAGUCGGGUGUGAAAUCCCGGGGCUCAACCUCGGAACUGCCUUUGAUACUGCAAAUCUCGAGUCCGGAAGAGGUGAGUGGAAUUCCUAGUGUAGAGGUGAAAUUCGUAGAUAUUAGGAAGAACACCAGUGGCGAAGGCGGCUCACUGGUCCGGUACUGACGCUGAGGUGCGAAAGCGUGGGGAGCAAACAGG